GCCCGCGCCGCCCCCCGCCCCGCUGCCGCCCCGCCCGCCCCGCGCGCCGCUACACCCCAACCACUUGUUCCACUUUGACGGCUCGCGCUACGUGUCGUGGCUGCCCUCGUUCUCGGUGGAGGUGACGCGCGUGCGCAUGGACCCGCCCGGCGCCUCGCAGCUUGACGCCAUGGUCCGCCAGGUGCAGGCCAUGUUCCCGCAGUACCCCGCCGGCGUGCUGGCGGCCGAGCUGGCGGCCACGCGCUCGCCCGCGCUCACCGUCGACAACAUCCUGGCCGGCCG